CCUACGGGUGGCAGCAGUGGGGAAUUUUGCGCAAUGGGGGCAACCCUGACGCAGCAACGCCGCGUGAGUGAUGAAGGCCUUCGGGUCGUAAAGCUCUGUCAGAGGGGAAGAAAUGCAGGUGGUGAACAACCAUUCUGUUUGACGGUACCCUCAAAGGAAGCACCGGCUAACUCCGUGCCAGCAGCCGCGGUAAUACGGAGCGUGCGAGCGUUGUUCGGAAUUAUUGGGCGUAAAGCGCGUGUAGGCGGUUUGUUAAGUCUGAGGGAAAAGCCCCGGGCUCAACCGGGGAAGUGCAUUGGAUACUGGCAGACUUGAGGACGGGAGAGGAGAGUGGAAUUCCCAGUGUAGGAGUAAAAUCCGUAGAUAUGGGGAGGAACACCGGUGGCGAGGGCGGCUCCCUGGACCGAUACUGACGCUGAGACGCGAAAGCGUGGGGAGCAAAAAGGAUUAGAUACCCUAGUAGU
rnacentral:rRNA from 1 species